GUCUAUAUAUACACUGAGCUGUCCCUCUGUAGUGAACUUCCUGCCCGUGGUUGGUUACCACGGUUACGACCUAGGCCAACAGGGUCAAACUCACAAAGUGCUGUUUGAGUUUCACCGCUCAGUAAAACCCGCUGAACAAACGUUCACGACGCAGCUAAAAAAAAAAAAAACAGUCGAGGCAUUUUGUUCAUUAGAGUGACUUCAAUCUUAAAUAUUUACCUUCAACAUUAUCUACAAAAGCACAUCAUGACCGUUUGUACACAGUGACUGAUGUCUGCAACAUCAGAGACAGCUGAACAUAUAUACAGGUUGCUUUGUAUACAAAUAAAUCCCACAGAGCACAGCGCCCCCAGUGGGUCGGAGGAGCCAUCCAUCUAAAGCACUUCACCUGAGGUUCAUAAAGAGAGGAGCAGACAGCCCACAGAGGGUUCUCCUCUGGUACCAGUCAGACUGGGUCCAUACUGAUGGGUCCUCCUCUGGUUCCAGUCAGACUGGGUCCAUACUGAUGGGUCCUCUGGUUCCAGUCAGACUGGGUCCAUACUGAUGGGUCCUCCUCUGGUACCAGACAGACUGGGUCCAUACUGAUGGGACCUCUGGUUCCAGUCAGACUGGGUCCAUACUGAUGGGUCCAUACUGAUGGGUUCUCCUCUGGUUCCAGUCAGACUGGGUCCAUACUGAUGGGUCCUCCUCUGGUUCCAGUCAGACUGGGUCCAUACUGAUGGGUUCUCCUCUGGUUCCAGUCAGACUGGGUCCAUACAGAUGGGUCCUCCUCUGGUUCCAGUCAGACUGGGUCCAUACUGAUGGGUCCUCUGGUUCCAGUCAGACUGGGUCCAUACUGAUGGGUCCUCUGGUUCCAGUCAGACUGGGUCCAUACUGAUGGGUCCUCCUCUGGUUCCAGUCAGACUGGGUCCAUACUGAUGGGUCCAUACUGAUGGGUCCAUACUGAUGGGUCCAUACUGAUGGGUUCUCCUCCUUGCUCUUGGGUUAAUUCUCCAGCAGUGUUAACUCCACAGGUUUAUCAAGCUACUCAAAGAGGCCUUGGAGUUGAUCACCAAGCGUCUGGUGUGUUCAGUGUUCUCCGGCGGGAAUAUGUGGUGUUGUCCAGGCUGACCUCUAGCCUCUGACUGGACCACAGACAGGGGGCGGGGCCUGGGAGAGGCGGGCUGGGGCAGAGAGCCAAUCACUAGGGAGAAGAGCACGAAGACUUCCUGCCUGAAGAAAAUCUAAGAGAGAGAGGAGAGAGAAGAUGGAGAGAAAUUAGGAUAAACUAAGGUACAGUCAGUAAUCAGGUAGUGGGAUUAGAUGGAGGGAGGUUAGGAUAAACUAAGGUACAGUCAGUAAUCAGGUAGUGGGAUUAGAUGGAGGGAGAUUAGGAUAAACUAAAUUACAGUCAGUAAUCAGGUAGUGGGAUUAGAUGGAGAGAGGUUAGGAUAAACUAAAUUACAGUCAGUAAUCAGGUAGUGGGAUUAGAUGGAGGGAGGUUAGGAUAAACUAAGGUACAGUCAGUAAUCAGGUAGUGGGAUUAGAUGGAGGGAGGUUAGGAUAAACUAAGGUACAGUCAGUAAUCAGGUAGUGGGAUUAGAUGGAGGGAGAUUAGGAUAAACUAAGGUACAGUCAGUAAUCAGGUAGUGGGAUUAGAUGGAGGGAGAUUAGGAUAAACUAAGGUACAGUCAGUAAUCAGGUAAUGGGAUUAGAUGGAGGGAGAUUAUGAUAAACUAAAUUAUAGUCAGUAAUCAGAACAGACAAAUUCAUACGCAUUGGCUAUUAACGUAACCAGCUGGGUAUGGAUAGUGGUAGGGUACUAGGGUUAUAGGGGUUAGUGGUAGGGUACUAGGGUUAU
rnacentral:lncRNA from 1 species